AUUGAACGCUGGCGGCAUGCCUUACACAUGCAAGUCGAACGGCAGCACGGGUGCUUGCACCUGGUGGCGAGUGGCGAACGGGUGAGUAAUACAUCGGAACGUACCUUAUCGUGGGGGAUAACGCAGCGAAAGCUGUGCUAAUACCGCAUACGCCCUGAGGGGGAAAGCGGGGGAUCGCAAGACCUCGCGCGAUUAGAGCGGCCGAUGCCUGAUUAGCUAGUUGGUGGGGUAAAAGCCCACCAAGGCGACGAUCAGUAGCUGGUCUGAGAGGACGAUCAGCCACGCUGGGACUGUGACACGGCCCAGACGCCUACGGGAGGCAGCAGUGGGGAAUUUUGGACAAUGGGGGCAACCCUGAUCCAGCAAUGCCGCGUGAGUGAAGAAGGCCUUCGGGUUGUAAAGCUCUUUUGUCAGGGAAGAAACACCGGCUCUAACACAGUCCGGGAAUGACGGUACCUGAAGAAUAAGCACCGGCUAACUACGUGCCAGCCGCCGCGGUAA
rnacentral:rRNA from 1 species